UAUAAUAAUUUUUGUGCUUUCUUUGUCUUCUCCUUCAUUCAAAAAUAUUUAAAAUAGUAUAUGACUAGAGAGCAACGAUGAACAACACCUUUGCUUUGUAUGUGUGAUUUAGCGGAGGGCUAGAAUUAUGGAGGAUAUAAGUCGCCCUAUAAGGGUGAGGGAGGGGCUGUAGAGUAUAAAUUUUUCAUUCUUCAAUUGAAAGAGCACAACGACAAAUUGAGGUUAAAGAAGACACUCGGUGAGACAGCCAAAGACAACAAAAACAACAAGAAAACACGAUUAGCAACAACAAAUCGUAAAAAACACAUUUCACACAGAGGCAAGGCGACGGGCGGUUCUUUUCAAUCAGUGAUUGUCUAACUGACAUGACAGGCUGACUAAUACACUUACAACAACGCUUACGACACGAAAAGGCAAUAAAGCGCAGCUAUAGAAAUGAAAAUCGGUGGAAGGAAAAAAACAAACAAAUCCAAAGCCGGCUUUUAUAGAGUUAAUUAGCACUUAGCGAAACUUGUGUACAAAGAAAAAUUGGUAAUAAAUGAGGUGAAAUAGUGA